rnacentral:rRNA from 1 species
UGGGGAAUCUUAGACAAUGGGGGCAACCCUGAUCUAGCCAUGCCGCGUGAGUGAUGAAGGCCCUAGGGUCGUAAAGCUCUUUCGCCAGGGAUGAUAAUGACAGUACCUGGUGAAGAAACCCCGGCUAACUCCGUG